GACGAACGCUGGCGGCGUGCCUAAUACAUGCAAGUAGGACGCAGUUGCGCACGGGUGAGUAACGCGUAGGUAACUACCUAUUAGAGGGGGAUAACUAUUGGAAACGAUAGCUAAUACCGCAUACUAGUAGAUGGGCCUGCGUUGUAUUAGCUAGUAGGUAGGGUAAUGGCCUACCUAGGCAACGAUACAUAGUCGACCUGAGAGGGGUAACGGCCACACUGGGACUGAGACACGGCCCCGACUUCUACGGGAGGCAUCAGGAGGGAAUUGUCGGCAAUGGGGGGAACGCUGACCGAGCACCGGCGCGGGAGUGAAGAAGGUUUUCGGAUCGUAAAGCUCUGUUGUUAAGGAAGCGGUACUUAACCAGAAAGGGACGGCUAACUACGUGCCAGCAGCCGCGGUAAUAC
rnacentral:rRNA from 1 species